AGAGUUUGAUCCUGGCUCAGAUUGAACGCUGGCGGCAUGCCUUACACAUGCAAGUCGAACGGCAGCGCGGGAGCAAUCCUGGCGGCGAGUGGCGAACGGGUGAGUAAUAUAUCGGAACGUGCCCUGGAGUGGGGGAUAACUAGUCGAAAGACUAGCUAAUACCGCAUACGAUCUAAGGAUGAAAGUGGGGGAUCGCAAGACCUCAUGCUCCUGGAGCGGCCGAUAUCUGAUUAGCUAGUUGGUGGGGUAAAAGCUCACCAAGGCGACGAUCAGUAGCUGGUCUGAGAGGACGACCAGCCACACUGGGACUGAGACACGGCCCAGACUCCUACGGGAGGCAGCAGUGGGGAAUUUUGGACAAUGGGGGCAACCCUGAUCCAGCAAUGCCGCGUGUGUGAAGAAGGCCUUCGGGUUGUAAAGCACUUUUGUCAGGAAAGAAAUCGCUCUGGCUAAUAUCCGGAGUGGAUG
rnacentral:rRNA from 1 species